CCAGAGCCAAACAAAAGGAACUAAAAUCGAUUCUACAAACUUAUAAAACCAAAAGAAGCUAAUAGGCUAAUAGAAAACUGGAGAAAAAACAUAAAAUUCAUGAAAGAUGAAGCUGAUCGAAGCCGGAAGUAUGAUUGAGUGGAAAAUCGAAACGCACCUAACUUAUUAGAAUUGAGUCGAAAUUCUCACAACCGUUCCCAAAGGAACCACGAGGAACCAACACACUUACCACUUCUUAAACAAAAGAAGCCAUCCGAGAACAAGCCUUCAACCCGAGCAGCCAAAGAUGAGACACAUACACGUUUGACAAUCAACAACUCCAAGACCAUCGCAAUUGAGCAUAAGCUCCAAAGCCCCUUACAAAGAAUUUUGGAAAACU
rnacentral:lncRNA from 1 species